rnacentral:rRNA from 1 species
UACGUAGGGGGCAAGCGUUGUCCGGAAUCAUUGGGCGUAAAGAGCGUGUAGGCGGCCCGAUAAGUCCGCUGUGAAAGUCCAGGGCUCAACCCUGGGAUGCCGGUGGAUACUGUCGGGCUCGAGUACGGGAGAGGCGAGUGGAAUUCCUGGUGUAGCGGUGAAAUGCGCAGAUAUCAGGAGGAACACCGAUUGCGAAGGCAGCUCGCUGGAACGUUACUGACGCUGAGACGCGAAAGCGUGGGGAGCAAACAGG